GAUGAAGAACGUAGCGAAAUGCGAUAAGUAAUGUGAAUUGCAGAAUUCAGUGAAUCAUCGAAUCUUUGAACGCACAUUGCGCCCCUUGGUAUUCCGAGGGGCAUGCCUGUUCGAGCGUCAUUAUAACCCCUCAAGCUCAGCAUGGUGUUGGGGCCUGCUGCACUGGCAGCCCUUAAAAUCAGUGGCGGCGCCAUCUGGCUCUAAGCGUAGUAAUUCUUCUCGCUAUGGAGUCCUGGUGGAUGCUUGCCAUCAACCCCCAAUUUUUCUAUGGUUGACCUCGGAUCAGGUAGGGAUACCCGCUGAACUUAAGCAUAUCAAUAAGCGGAGGA
rnacentral:misc_RNA from 1 species